UUUUUCCAGGGAGAAAAGACCUAACUCCUUCAAUCUUUCCUCAUAGGGCAGGUUCUCCAGUUCUUUGAUGACCUUUGUGGCCCACCUUUGGACCCUCUCCAAUCUGUGUGUGUCUUUCUUCAACUGUGGAGAUGAGAAUUGGACACAGUACUGCAGGUGCAGCCUGACAAGGGUUGAGUGGAAUGAUAACGUCUCUAUCUCUGCUAGUAAUGCCCCUGCAGAUGCAGCCCAGGAUCCGGUUUAUCUUUGUUGCUGCAGUGGUGCACUGUUGACUCGUGUUUAGCUUGUUGUCCACCAGCACCCCCAGGUCCCUUCCAGCAAAGCUGCUCCCCAGCCACACAGAUACUUUCUUGUACUGUGCUCUUUGGUUAUGUUGUCCUAGGUGCAGGAAUUUGCAUAUCUUUUAAAUUUCAAACUGGCAAUCUCUCUUCCCAUACCACUCGAGUGGAUGGACCUCAAGGCAGGGACCAGGGCAGCAAAGUCCCUCCCAUUAUAAGAGAAGAUCAGGUUCAUGACCACUUGAGGAACCUGAACAUAUAUAAAAGUAUGGGACCUGAUGAGAUGCAUCCCAGAGUCCUGAGGGAACUGUCUGAUGUAGUUGUCAAGCCACUCUCUAUCAUAUCUGAAAAGUCAUGACAGUCAGUUGAAGUCCCUGUUGACUGGAAAAAGGGAAACAUUGCACCUAUUUUUAAAAAGGGUAAAAAAGGAGGACCCUGGGAACUACCGACCUGUCAGCCUCACCUCUGUGCCUGGGAAGAUAAUCUUCCUAGAAGUUCUGUCAAAACACGGAUGACAGGGAGGUGAUUCGAGACAGACAACAUCGCUUCAGCAAGAGUAAAUCAUGCCUGACUAAUCUAGUGGCCUUCUACGAUGGAGUGACUGCAUCGGUAGACAAGGGAAGAGCUACAGAUGUCAUCUACCUGGACUUCUGUAAGGCCUUUGAUACAGCCUCCCACAACAUUCUGGCUGCUAAAUUGGAGAGAUUAGGUUUGAUGGAUAGACUGUUAGAACUGGUUGGAUGGCCACGUCUGAAGAGUUACAGUCAAUGGCUCAGUGUCCAAGUGGAAAACAGUGAUGACUAUUGUCCCUCAGGGGUCCAUAUUGGGACCAAUACUGUUUAAUAUCUUCAUCAACCACAUUGUGGGACUGAGUGCACGCUCAGAAAAUCUGAAGACGACACCAAGCUGAGUGGUGUGGUUGAUCUGCCUGAGUGACAGAAUGCCAUCCAGAGGGACCCAGACAAGCUUGAUAAGUGGGUCCAUGUGAACCUCACGAGGUUCAACAAGGCCAAGCGCAAGGUCCUGCACCUGAGUCAGGACAAUCCCCAGUAUCAAUACAGGCUUGGGGAUGAAGGGAUUGAGAGCAGCCGUGAGGAAAAGGACUUGGGGAUACUAGUGGAAAAAAAUUGGAUAUGAGCUGGCAACAUAUGCUAGCAGCCCAGAAAGCUAAUUAUAUCCUGGGCUGCAUAAAAAGAAGCAUGGCCAGCAGGUCAAGGGAGGUGAUUCUGCCCCUCUACUCUGCUCUGGUGAGACCCCACCUGGAGUAUUGCAUCCAGCUCUGGGGUCCCCAGCACAAGAAAGACAUGGACAAAAUAUGUCAGAGGGCUGGAACACCUCUCCUAUGAAGAAAGGCUGAGAGACUUGAGGUGGUUUAGCCAAGAGAAGGCUUUGGGGAGACCUUAUUGCGGCCUUUCAAUACUUAAAGGGUCUUAUAAGAAAGAUGGGGACAGACAUUUUAGCAGGGUCUGUUGCAAUAGGACAAGGGGUAAUGGAUUUAAACUAAAAGAGGGUAGAUUAAGACUAGAUAUAAGGAAGAAAUUAUUUACGAUGAGGGAGGUGAAACACUGGAAUAGGUUGCUCAUAGAGGUGGUAAAUGUCCCAUCCCUGGAAACAUUCAAGUUCAGGUUGGAUGAGGCUCUGAGCAAUCCAGUCUAGUUGAAGAUGUCCUUACUCAUUGCAGGGGCGCUGAUGAAAUGACCUUUAAAGGUCCCUUCUAACCCUAACCAUUCUAUGAUUCUAUGAUACUGUUCUCGCUAGCUCACUUUUCCAGCCUGUCCAGGUCUCUCUGUAAGAUGGCUCUCUCUUUUGACACAUCUACCUCAUCACUCAGUUUGGUGUCAUCAGCAAACUUGGUAAACGUGCUUUCAAUCCCAUCAUCCAGAUCAUUUAUGAAAAUGUUGAAAAGUGUGGGGACCAGUAUCAAUCCCUGGGGGACCCCAAUUGUGACAGGCUGCCAGCCUGAGUAAAACCCAUUAAUCACCACCCUCUGAGUGUGGCCUGUUGGUGAACUUCCUACCCAUCUCACAGACCACCCAUACAAACUGUCUUGCCAGUUUGUCCAGCACAAGGCUGUGAGAAACAGUGUCGAACACUUUGAGGAAAUCCAUGUAAACAAUACCCACUGCUCUCCCCACUUUGACAGAAAGUGUUACUUUGUUGUAGAAGGUGAUCGGGUUAGUGAGGUAUGGUUUGCCUUGGAUAAAUCUGUGCUGACUUUUCCCAGUCACCCACUUCAUUUUGUUUGUGAGAGUUUCUAGGAGAACUUCUUCCAUUACUUUCCCAGGAACUGAAGUAAGAUUAAUGGACCUGUCAUUUCCCGGGUCCUCUUUUGGUCCCUUCUUGUAGAUGGGUAUAACAUUUGCCCUCUUCCAGUCACUAGGGAUAUCCCCUGUUCUCCAUGACUUUUCAAAGAUUAUAGGCAGUGGCCUUGCACCUCCUUUGAGCGGCUGGCAAUACUAUGUUUGAUGCACCCCAGGACACGGUUGGCUCUCUUGGCUGCCCGGGCACACUGUUGGCUCCUGUUCAACUUGCUGUCGACCAGAAGGCCCAGAUCCUUCUUUGCAGAGCUGCUUUCCAACAUCUCAUCCCCCAGUCUGUAUGUACAGCCAGGGUUGCUGUGUCCCAGUGCGCCCAGGUGACAAAGAAGACCAAGAGCAUCCUGGCUUCUAUCAGCAAUAGUGUUGCUAGCAGGACUAGGAAGCAAAUGUCCCCCUAUACUCGGCACUGAUCAGGCCACAUCUCAAAUACUGUGUUGAGUUUUGGGCCCCUCAUUACAAGAAGGACAUUGAGGUAUUGGAAUGUGUCCAAAAAAGGGCAGUGAAGCUGGUGAAGGGUCUGGAGCAAAGUCUUAUGAGGAGCAGCUGAGGGAACUGGGGCUGUUUAGCCUGGAGAAAAGGAGGCUGAGGGGAGAUCUUAUCACUCUCUACAACUACCUGAAAGGAGGUUGUAGCGAGAUGGGUGUCAGUCUCUUUUCCCAAGUAAUAAGCGAUAGGACAAGAGGAAAUGGCCUCAAGUUGCACAAUGGGAGGUUUAGAUUGGGUAUUGGGAAAAAAUUCUUCACAGAAAGGGUUGUCCGGCAUUGGAAGAGACUGCCCGGGGAAGUGGUGGAGUCACCAUCCCUGCAGGUGUUUAAAAGACGUGUAGAUGUGGUUCUUAGGGGCAUGGUUUAGUGAUGGACUUGGCAGUGCCUGGUAAUGGUUGGACUUGAUGAUCUUAAAGGUAUUUUCCAACCUAAAUGGUUUUAUGAUCCUAUGAUUUCAUGUUGAAUAAUGUGUUUUAAAAUUAUUGUUGAUGGUGCUUUAAAAUAUGCAAUGAAGUAAAACAAAAUACACAAAAUAGCAGGUUUCCUUUGUGUUUGUAAUAGUGUUAAAAUUUCUGUUUAGGUGAAUUCACCUUAUAUAUGUGCUUAGGCUCUUCUCUGGAGGCUUCCUUGUAUUUGCACUUGGCCUGAUCUGAGUCUCUGUCCACACUAGUAUGGACAGUGGGAAAAAUUGUUGCUAAAAAGUUAUUUAAAAGCAUAUUAUAUUUUUAGUUAUAAUCAUACAUUUUAUUAUUUUUUUUUUCUGCAAAAUGACCAGGGGGGAGCUAUGCCCCUGGGAGGAGAUGAGGCAGGACGGGGGAUGAGGUAGAAGGCUAUCUGCACUUGUUUUAUAUUUUUUUAGGCAAUAGUCGAUGUUGUUGUGAAUCUUCAGUUUAGCCUCAUAGAAAAAUUGUGGCAAACUUUCUGGCGCUAUUCUCCCUCUGCUCCAACUGACGACACAGCUAUUAUUGAACUGAGCAAUCUGAGUGAAAUAGAAAGUCGACUUCCAAAAGGAAAACUGAUUACUCUGUGCAAAAAUGAGUCUAUUCUGAAAUGGAUGGGUAAUUGUGACCAUGUGAUGUACCAGGCUUUGGUGGAGAUUCUCAUUCCUGAUGUCCUUAGACCUAUUCCUAGUAAGUUAAACACAGAUAACAUCUCAUAAGACUGUAUUUUGUUUUGUUUUGGUUUGGUUUAUGUGGUCAUUUUUUGUGCCUCAUGUGAAACUUUUGGGAAUGAUUUGGAGGAUGUAAACUUAGUGUGUGUCAUCUUUCCUUAAUUCUGUUGAUUAGGAAGGUGUACUGGAGUUGAUGCAAGCACUAUAAUUAAAGUAAAGGAGAGUGAAUAUUUCACUGCAUUUAGGAAAGUCUCUAGAAGUUUUAAGUAUAUAUUUCCCUAUGGAAUACGCUUUUGUCACUGCAGAUUCUCAGUAUUUAUUAAUUUUAAGAUAAAAAUGCCUUCCUUUAUAUACUGGCUUUUGUCUACCUGACAGUUGUGAAUGCACAUUGGCCCUGAGCCUAAGUCCAUUAAUGUCAGACAGUCUUUCCACUGAUUUCAGUAGGCCUUAGUUUAAGUUUUAUAUAUAAAAGUUCUAGUUGUUAAAAAACCAAAAUGUAUAUGCUUUCUCACUUUAUUUUUUGAUAAUUAAACAUUUAUGUAUUAUCAGUGGCUGCUAAAACCUUACCAGUUUUGAUACCUAUUAAACCAACAUAACACUGUCAAA